GGAGAUACAUUUUAACUUUGAAGGAUUUGAUAUAUUUAUUAUUGUUAUUAUUCUGAAAAACUGAUGCGAGAUGCUCAUCAGAUGGGCUGUGACAUGGUUCCUGAUCCUAACAGGUUUUAGGAUAACCACUGCAUUGACAACAACUUCAA